rnacentral:rRNA from 1 species
UAAGGAAUAUUGGACAAUGGACGCAAGUCUGAUCCAGCCAUGCCGCGUGAAGGAUGAAUGCCCUCUGGGUUGUAAACUUCUUUUAUAGGGGAAGAAAGAUACUUUUUUUAAGGUAGUUGACGGUACCCUAUGAAUAAGCACGGGCUAACUCCGUGCCAGCAGCCGCGGUAAUACGGAGGGUGCAAGCGUUAUCCGGAUUUACUGGGUUUAAAGGGUGCGUAGGCGGGCAUGUAAGUCAGUGGUGAAAUACCGGAGCUUAACUUCGGAACUGCCAUUGAUACUAUAUGUCUUGAAUAUUGUGGAGGUAAGCGGAAUAUGUCAUGUAGCGGUGAAAUGCAUAGAUAUGGCAUAGAACACCGAUUGCGGAGGCAGCUUGCUACGCAAAUAUUGACGCUGAGGCACGAAAGCGUGGGGAUCAAACA